rnacentral:rRNA from 1 species
UCGAGAAUCUUCGGCAAUGGUCGACAGACUGACCGAGCGACGCCGCGUGGAGGACGAAGGCCUUCGGGUUGUAAACUCCUGUCGAGGGGGAACAAGGGCGUGUGAAGAGCGCGUCUUGAGUGAUCCCUGGAGGAAGCACGGGCUAAGUUCGUGCCAGCAGCCGCGGUAAGACGAACCGUGCGAACGUUAUUCGGAAUCACUGGGCUUAAAGCGCGUGUAGGCGGAUGGCCGCGUCGGUCGCUGAAAGCCCCCGGCUCAACCGGGGGUGUGGCGCCGAAACGGGUCGUCUGGAGGGGCGUAGGGGGAGCUGGAACUCACGGUGGAGCGGUGAUAUGCGUUGAGAUCGUGAGGAACGCCCGCGGCGAAAGCGAGCUCCUGGACGCCUACUGACGCUGAGACGCGAAAGCCAGGGGAGCGAACGGGAUUAGAUACCCCGGUAGUCCUGGCCGUAAACGAUGGGCACUGGGUAGGGGGCUCGCCGAUGGGUCCCCUGCCGCAGCGAAAGCGUGAAGUG